CCGACUUCCUCCAAGACGUUCGAGAUCUUCGUCGUCUUCUUCUUCAUUGUGCCCUCGAAAGGGAGGCAAACGAAUUUCUAGAAGGCGUGAUUCAAGAAGACCUGAGAGAGGAAGUAGCCACAGCAGCAGCAGCUGACCAUCUCCAAAAGCGUGAGAAGUUCUUAGAUUGAGACCUGUACAUCCUUCUCUCUCUGUCCAUCCACACUUCUGUUUUGCUGUCUUGUUGCUGGGUUUUACUUGAAUUUGUAAGUACAUAGAAGUAAUACCGGUUCUACACAAUGCUACAUCUGGAAGUGUUCUAUCCUGUAUGUUUUUCAGUUUUUUUUCUUUUUCUUUUUAAAAAAGAACUUG